rnacentral:rRNA from 1 species
GAUGAACGCUGGCGGCGUGCCUAAUACAUGCAAGUCGAGCGAACAGACGAGGAGCUUGCUCCUCUGACGUUAGCGGCGGACGGGUGAGUAACACGUGGAUAACCUACCUAUAAGACUGGGAUAACUUCGGGAAACCGGAGCUAAUACCGGAUAAUAUAUUGAACCGCAUGGUUCAAUAGUGAAAGACGGUUUUGCUGUCACUUAUAGAUGGAUCCGCGCCGCAUUAGCUAGUUGGUAAGGUAACGGCUUACCAAGGCGACGAUGCGUAGCCGACCUCAGAGGGUGAUCGGCCACACUGGAACUGAGACACGGUCCAGACUCCUACGGGAGGCAGCAGUAGGGAAUCUUCCGCAAUGGGCGAAAGCCUGACGGAGCAACGCCGCGUGAGUGAUGAAGGUCUUCGGAUCGUAAAACUCUGUUAUUAGGGAAGAACAAAUGUGUAAGUAACUAUGCACGUCUUGACGGUACCUAAUCAGAAAGCCACGGCUAACUACGUG